rnacentral:rRNA from 1 species
AGAUUGAACGCUGGCGGCAUGCCUAACACAUGCAAGUCGAACGGGAGUAGCAAUACUCUAGUGGCGGACGGGUGAGGAAUACGUAGGAAUUUGCCCUUAAGUGGGGGAUAACCCGGGGAAACCCGGAUUAAUACCGCAUGACCUCGAAAGAGCAAAGUGGGGGAUCGCAAGACCUCACGCUUUGGAGAAGCCUACGUCGGAUUAGCUAGUUGGUGAGGUAAUGGCUCACCAAGGCGACGAUCCGUAACUGGUCUGGAGAGGAUGAUCAGUCACGACCGACUGAGACACGGUCCGACUCCGUACGGG